GUGCUAGCCUCAGCAGCACAUAUACUAAAAUUGGAAUGAUACAGAGAGGGUUAGCAUGCUCCCCCUUAGUUAAAGGUAGCAUACAAAUUCAUAAAGCAUUCAGUAUUAUU
ensembl:snRNA LOC120095714 U6 spliceosomal RNA